rnacentral:rRNA from 1 species
AGAGUUUGAUCAUGGCUCAGGAUUAACGUUGGUAGUACACACACACGAGCAAGUCGAACGCGGUAAAGGAAUAGUCUGUAAAGAUUAUUUUGGAGCCGAGUGGCGAACGGGUGAGUAAUACUUAUCUAACUUGCCAAUUAGUGGGGGAUAAAAUACCGCAUACUCUGAUUUCGGUCAGGAAAGGGUUCCGCAAGGACUCGCUAGUUGAGAGGGAUAAGUCGCAUCAGCCGAAGAAAGUGGGGUAAUGGCCUACUGAGGCAGUGACGCGUAGCCGGUCUGAGAGGAUGAACGGCCACAAGGGAACUGAGACACGGUCCCUACUCCUACGGGAGGCAGAAGUGGGAAACAUUUCGCAAUGGACGCAAGUCUGACGGAGUGAUACUACGUGAAGGAUGAAGGUCUACGGAUUGUAAACUUCUUUACUAGAGGGUACUGUUUUUAAAACUUGCCCUUUAGCAAAAAGUCACGACUAACUAUGUGCCAGCAGUCGCGGUAAGACAUAGGUGGCAAACGUUAUCCGGAAUUAUUGGGCGUAAAGAGUGCGUAGGUGGUUGAAUAAGUUAUUGGUGGUAAAUCGGGGCCCAACCCCGUGGAAGCCAGUAAUACUGUUGAACUAGAGGGCUGGAGAGGUUAACGGAAUUCUAUGUGUAGCGGUAAAAUGCUCAAAUAUAUAGAGGAACACCAAUUGGCGAAGGCAGUUAACUAUUCGGUUCCUGACGUUGAGGCACGAAAGUGUGGGGAGCAAGACGGAUUAGAUACCCUAGUAGUCC